rnacentral:rRNA from 1 species
CUUUAUCGGAGAGUUUGAUCCUGGCUCAGGACGAACGCUGGCGGCGUGCCUAAUACAUGCAAGUCGAGCGGACAGAUGGGAGCUUGCUCCCUGAUGUUAGCGGCGGACGGGUGAGUAACACGUGGGUAACCUGCCUGUAAGACUGGGAUAACUCCGGGAAACCGGGGCUAAUAC